AUUCAGGGAUAUUAUUAUUCGACUGGAAGAAGCAAGACUGUAAUCAGCAUUAACAAUAGAACAAGGGAUUUAAGGACGGACAAAAGCUACAUGUGAGGAAGCAGAAUCCACAGUGCCCCCUCCCCUACAUUUGGUCUAGAACUCCUCCCUGGGCCCAGGCCACGGAGGGGAGAGGUCCUGGACCCAGGACAUUUUCGUCAAAUCCUGUCCUCCUGGCAUAAGGAAUCCCUGUCACAAAACAAAACACAGAUGGGACUUUUCCAGAAGAAGUGUUCUGCAGGAGUCUACUUCACUGUGGGGUUUUUUCCUGGAUUUCAGAGAUGGAGCUUUCAAAUACCACCCAAUACUACAGCUGAGAGACGAUUCAUUUGCUUCAAGCCAUUAUGAUGUCCUUGGGAUCUGCCUGAAAAAUUUACAAAUUUUGAUCAUUUCUUUGCUAGAAACUUAUUCUUUGACAAUCUGCCCCUUUUCAGUAUUGCUGUAAUUGAUUUUUCCUCUUAGCACUAGUUUAGUGAAAAGGUUUUUAAAAACCCUUGUCAUGGAAGGGCUGCUUAAGUUUUAGAUUACAUUUUCAACAGCUCCUAUUUAUUCUUUUAAUUGCCCCUCUAGUUCUAAAUUGUUUAUAAGGAAAACCACCUUACUUCGCCUUCUCUGUUCACUUUGGUGAGAGAUGGAAACUCUUGGACCGUUCACUCUUCUAAAACACAGAGACUUUCUCUUGUACAUCAAGAUUAAAGUAACCAAUCCCUCUGAGCAGUUUUUAGCAUGCAAGUGACAUUUACUGUAAACUAAGCUUGCAAAAACCUAUUAAAUUACUUGGCACACUGUGUCUUUUGGUGCGGUUUUCCUAUUUCUCAUUAUUUUUUGAAAAUAUUUUUAAACAAAAUCCACUGGGAUUUUUUUGCCUUCAGCUAUCUGAAAGUCAAGACUGUACAUUUAUUUCUGCUGGCACUUUUUCCAUUGUCCUACACAGACAGUGCCCUGAACCUCAGAGAAAUUAAUUUUGAUGGGUAUGUGAGAUGUUUAAAAAACAUUCUUGGUCUAGGGAGGGCUUUAAAUAAAACAAUUAGAGAAAUGGAGAGAAAGAGUUGCUAUACACAGGAGUUUUUAUUCCAGGUGUAUAAAAGUCGUCCUCUUCUGUCUUUUUCCUGAGGAAUGGCUCAC